AUGCGGAAAGCUAUGAGGGAGAUCCACAACCCGUCUCCACAGCCAGAGGACCACAACCGGGCCCUCGACCUCAGACUCGAAGAAGAUCCGGACAUAUUUGUGGAGCUUGGCCAUAGGGUGCUUUACCAGGUGAGCUGCGACAACACCUUGGUGGCUAUCAUUGCCGAUUAUCCCGGCCUCCUCCCUGCAUCACAAGUAAGUAAAACAGGAGACUUAUCUUCUGAAAAGGAUUCACUCUUUCCACCUUACCCCCAACACAUAUAUUAUGUUAUAAAGGGAAGGCCAUCGGCACGCCAUGCCGAACCCGCGACGACUCACCAACAAGGGGUGCCCAGGACGGGUAGGCUUCCAAAAAGGAAAGCGAGCAGAGACAUGGCCGAGCCGCCAUCGAAGAGGUAUGGUUUAAAACAUGCUCCGUGA
rnacentral:rRNA from 1 species